rnacentral:rRNA from 1 species
GACGAACGCUGGCGGCGUGCUUAACACAUGCAAGUCGAACGGUGAAGGGGCCUGCUUUUGUGAGCCCUGGAUGAGUGGCGAACGGGUGAGUAACACGUGAGUAACCUGCCCCCUUCUUCUGGAUAACCGCAUGAAAGUGUGGCUAAUACGGGAUAUUCUGGGUCUGUCGCAUGAUGGGUCUGGGAAAGAUUGCGCCUUUGGGUGUUUUUGGUGGGGGAUGGGCUCGCGGCCUAUCAGCUUGUUGGUGGGGUGAUGGCCUACCAAGGCGGUGACGGGUAGCCGGCCUGAGAGGGUGGACGGUCACACUGGGACUGAGACACGGCCCAGACUCCUACGGGAGGCAGCAGUGGGGAAUAUUGCACAAUGGGCGCAAGCCUGAUGCAGCGACGCCGCGUGAGGGAUGGAGGCCUUCGGGUUGUAAACCUCUUUCGCCAGUGAAGCAGGCCUGCUCCUUGUGGGUGGGUUGACGGUAGCUGGAUAAGAAGCGCCGGCUAACUACGUG